rnacentral:lncRNA from 1 species
AUAAAGAAGCUUCUGUCCCAAUUUUCCGAAAUUCCAUUAUGUUUGACAACGAUUUUGAUGUAAAACAAAACUUUAACCAAAGACUGAACCUAAAUGCUGAUGACGGAAUCUAGGAUCGCCAAGUAUCGCUUUCACGAAACUUGAAAAAAAGAUGGAUGUAUGUCAAAAGAUCCAAGUAGGCAGUUAUUUCACUCAUAAAUCUCAAAGACCUCCUUGCUUUCGACAAGAC